rnacentral:piRNA from 1 species
UCCCCAAAUGCAGCUGAUGUCACCUCACC